rnacentral:rRNA from 1 species
GACGAACGCUGGCGGCGUGCCUAAUACAUGCAAGUCGAGCGGASUUGAUGRRGWGCUUGCWYUYCUGAKRSUUAGCGGCGGACGGGUGAGUAACACGUAGGCAACCUGCCCUCAAGACUGGGAUAACUACCGGAAACGGUAGCUAAUACCGGAUAAUUAAAUUCGCUGCAUGGCGGAUUUAUGAAAGGCGGAGCAAUCUGUCACUUGAGGAUGGGCCUGCGGCGCAUUAGCUAGUUGGUGAGGUAACGGCUCACCAAGGCGACGAUGCGUAGCCGACCUGAGAGGGUGAACGGCCACACUGGGACUGAGACACGGCCCAGACUCCUACGGGAGGCAGCAGUAGGGAAU